UUUCGCCGUCUCCGAUCCCAAA
rnacentral:snRNA from 1 species